GGGUUGUGAGGUUAAGCGACUAAGCGUACACGGUGGAUGCCCUGGCAGUCAGAGGCGAUGAAGGACGUGCUAAUCUGCGAUAAGCGUCGGUAAGGUGAUAUGAACCGUUAUAACCGGCGAUUUCCGAAUGGGGAAACCCAGUGUGAUUCGUCACACUAUCAUUAACUGAAUCCAUAGGUUAAUGAGGCGAACCGGGGGAACUGAAACAUCUAAGUACCCCGAGGAAAAGAAAUCAACCGAGAUUCCCCCAGUAGCGGCGAGCGAACGGGGAGCAGCCCAGAGCCUGAAUCAGUGUGUGUGUUAGUGGAAGCGUCUGGAAAGGCGCGCGAUACAGGGUGACAGCCCCGUACACAAAAAUGCACAUGCUGUGAGCUCGAUGAGUAGGGCGGGACACGUGGUAUCCUGUCUGAAUAUGGGGGGACCAUCCUCCAAGGCUAAAUACUCCUGACUGACCGAUAGUGAACCAGUACCGUGAGGGAAAGGCGAAAAGAACCCCGGCGAGGGGAGUGAAAAAGAACCUGAAACCGUGUACGUACAAGCAGUGGGAGCACGCUUAGGCGUGUGACUGCGUACCUUUUGUAUAAUGGGUCAGCGACUUAUAUUCUGUAGCAAGGUUAACCGAAUAGGGGAGCCGAAGGGAAACCGAGUCUUAACUGGGCGUUAAGUUGCAGGGUAUAGACCCGAAACCCGGUGAUCUAGCCAUGGGCAGGUUGAAGGUUGGGUAACACUAACUGGAGGACCGAACCGACUAAUGUUGAAAAAUUAGCGGAUGACUUGUGGCUGGGGGUGAAAGGCCAAUCAAACCGGGAGAUAGCUGGUUCUCCCCGAAAGCUAUUUAGGUAGCGCCUCGUGAAUUCAUCUCCGGGGGUAGAGCACUGUUUCGGCAAGGGGGUCAUCCCGACUUACCAACCCGAUGCAAACUGCGAAUACCGGAGAAUGUUAUCACGGGAGACACACGGCGGGUGCUAACGUCCGUCGUGAAGAGGGAAACAACCCAGACCGCCAGCUAAGGUCCCAAAGUCAUGGUUAAGUGGGAAACGAUGUGGGAAGGCCCAGACAGCCAGGAUGUUGGCUUAGAAGCAGCCAUCAUUUAAAGAAAGCGUAAUAGCUCACUGGUCGAGUCGGCCUGCGCGGAAGAUGUAACGGGGCUAAACCAUGCACCGAAGCUGCGGCAGCGACGCUUAUGCGUUGUUGGGUAGGGGAGCGUUCUGUAAGCCUGUGAAGGUGUACUGUGAGGUAUGCUGGAGGUAUCAGAAGUGCGAAUGCUGACAUAAGUAACGAUAAAGCGGGUGAAAAGCCCGCUCGCCGGAAGACCAAGGGUUCCUGUCCAACGUUAAUCGGGGCAGGGUGAGUCGACCCCUAAGGCGAGGCCGAAAGGCGUAGUCGAUGGGAAACAGGUUAAUAUUCCUGUACUUGGUGUUACUGCGAAGGGGGGACGGAGAAGGCUAUGUUGGCCGGGCGACGGUUGUCCCGGUUUAAGCGUGUAGGCUGGUUUUCCAGGCAAAUCCGGAAAAUCAAGGCUGAGGCGUGAUGACGAGGCACUACGGUGCUGAAGCAACAAAUGCCCUGCUUCCAGGAAAAGCCUCUAAGCAUCAGGUAACAUCAAAUCGUACCCCAAACCGACACAGGUGGUCAGGUAGAGAAUACCAAGGCGCUUGAGAGAACUCGGGUGAAGGAACUAGGCAAAAUGGUGCCGUAACUUCGGGAGAAGGCACGCUGAUAUGUAGGUGAAGUCCCUCGCGGAUGGAGCUGAAAUCAGUCGAAGAUACCAGCUGGCUGCAACUGUUUAUUAAAAACACAGCACUGUGCAAACACGAAAGUGGACGUAUACGGUGUGACGCCUGCCCGGUGCCGGAAGGUUAAUUGAUGGGGUCAGCGCAAGCGAAGCUCUUGAUCGAAGCCCCGGUAAACGGCGGCCGUAACUAUAACGGUCCUAAGGUAGCGAAAUUCCUUGUCGGGUAAGUUCCGACCUGCACGAAUGGCGUAAUGAUGGCCAGGCUGUCUCCACCCGAGACUCAGUGAAAUUGAACUCGCUGUGAAGAUGCAGUGUACCCGCGGCAAGACGGAAAGACCCCGUGAACCUUUACUAUAGCUUGACACUGAACAUUGAGCCUUGAUGUGUAGGAUAGGUGGGAGGCUUUGAAGUGUGGACGCCAGUCUGCAUGGAGCCGACCUUGAAAUACCACCCUUUAAUGUUUGAUGUUCUAACGUGGACCCGUGAUCCGGGUUGCGGACAGUGUCUGGUGGGUAGUUUGACUGGGGCGGUCUCCUCCUAAAGAGUAACGGAGGAGCACGAAGGUUGGCUAAUCCUGGUCGGACAUCAGGAGGUUAGUGCAAUGGCAUAAGCCAGCUUGACUGCGAGCGUGACGGCGCGAGCAGGUGCGAAAGCAGGUCAUAGUGAUCCGGUGGUUCUGAAUGGAAGGGCCAUCGCUCAACGGAUAAAAGGUACUCCGGGGAUAACAGGCUGAUACCGCCCAAGAGUUCAUAUCGACGGCGGUGUUUGGCACCUCGAUGUCGGCUCAUCACAUCCUGGGGCUGAAGUAGGUCCCAAGGGUAUGGCUGUUCGCCAUUUAAAGUGGUACGCGAGCUGGGUUUAGAACGUCGUGAGACAGUUCGGUCCCUAUCUGCCGUGGGCGCUGGAGAACUGAGGGGGGCUGCUCCUAGUACGAGAGGACCGGAGUGGACGCAUCACUGGUGUUCGGGUUGUCAUGCCAAUGGCACUGCCCGGUAGCUAAAUGCGGAAGAGAUAAGUGCUGAAAGCAUCUAAGCACGAAACUUGCCCCGAGAUGAGUUCUCCCUGACUCCUUGAGAGUCCUGAAGGAACGUUGAAGACGACGACGUUGAUAGGCCGGGUGUGUAAGCGCAGCGAUGCGUUGAGCUAACCGGUACUAAUGAACCGUGAGGCUUAACCUUACAACGCCGAAG
rnacentral:rRNA from 1 species